GCUGGGCGCAGUGGCGUAUGCCUGUAAUCCCACCUGCUCAGGAGGCUGAGACAGGAAGAUCAUGAGUUCAGAGCCAGCUUCACUCACCAUCUUAGCAAGGCCUUAAGCAACUCAGUGAGACUCUGUCUCUA
rnacentral:sRNA from 1 species